GGGCCGGUAGAUCAGACUGGAAGAUCGCUAGCCUUGCAAGCUAGAGGCCUCGGGUCCAAAUCCCGACCGGUCCA
rnacentral:tRNA from 1 species